rnacentral:tRNA from 1 species
GCUUAGGUAGCUCAGUGGUAGAGCACUUCUCUGAAAAAGAAGGGGUCGGCAGUUCGAUCCUGCCCCUAAGCA